ensembl:lncRNA
CAAUUAAUAAAUUACAUUUAUCUCUGUUUUGAACUAAUACAGUGGUCUCUUUUAUUUUGAAAAAGUCAACAUUUUCGUGACCCGGAAGUGUUUCUUUAAUAUUGCUUACAAGACGUUGAUGACGCUGAUUGGAGAAGAUGGUUCUCGACCUUUUCACUUUAAAUAGUGAUUACAGUGUGUGAUUAAUGAAAGUGGUUGCUCUUAAUCAACUAUGCUGUCAGAAGAUCUUCCCUGGAUUCCUGCCACUUACGACAUAUUAACAAGGAGCAGUGGAUACAUAUCCGGAAUUGUAAAAUCUACAGAAGAACUGGACAUCUUACUAGAAAAUCACAAGCGAGCAACUUGUAGCGCUUUCAUUAAAUGGUCUGACCACAUAAAAGAUGCUAGUAAACGGAGACUGCUUUGGCAAGUGGAGGACUACGCAGAGGAUGUUCCCCUUUAUGUGGUCAAAAGAGUUACGCUUGCUUGCCAACAUGGCAAAGCACCAAACAGAAGACUUUCUACAGCUACGGAACAUUCUUCAGAAAAUGGAAGCUGCAAGAAGAGGCUCCGUAAGAGACUGAAGAAAUUGGGCUGUCCGGCAAAACUUUUCAUUCGUCACGUGACCAGGUAUGACACAUUUAGUGUGAAGGGAGACGCUUCCAGAGCAAAAAAAGAAGAUGCCAUGAAAAGACUAAAACAGGCACUAACCCAAACAAACCCACCUACUUCAACAUUCAUCCAUGUCAAACUUCCACUCGUGGAAGCCCACCACAACCAUAGUAUCGACUCAGGAUGUUGCCAUUCAAGGCCGAUGCAUCCCAGAGUUAAAGAGAAAAUCCAGGAAUUUGUGGGAGCGGGGUUAACGUCUGUCGCUUGUGUUAAAAUAGCCUUGAAGCAGUUUGUGCUGACUGAGCUGUGUUCGGAUGACCUGUGCAAACCUCAUGAAGAAGACCAAGCAUACUUCCCAUCCAGCAAAACGAUUCACAACCAUAUAAAGGGAAUAGGGGCAGGGAAUGGACACAGAAAAGAGGUAAAACAGUAUGUUGUGGAUGAUGGUCCGAAAAGCAAGUGGGAGGAGGACAUAAUGGAAGAUGAAGCGGUUCCAGAGGUGGAGAAUGAGCAUGGAAGAGACGUGGAAGAAGACAGGCUACAGAGUGUCAGAGCGGCACAGCUCGCAUUGAGGGAGGAGCUUAAGAAAUUCACAGACGCUUCAUUUUUGUGUGAGCACCUUGACACCUUGGAAAGUUCAACUGAAGCCUUGAUGAACCUGAGAACAUCCUUCCUAACUCACUGCCGGAAUGAAAACCCUCUUGUGUUAAGUAAACAUAAAGUGGUGGGAUUAGGAACAUCUACUGUCAAGAAAAGCCAAUCCAAAAAUCAAUCAACAUUGAAGGAAGCUGAGGUGUGUGAUCCUUUGCUGUCCUUAAAUGCCCCAAAACCUUUCUCAGAUGGAUGAAGAUCUCGUACAGUGGAUUGUACAAGAAAUCACCCCCUUGGACUGAUUUGUGAUUUAUUGCAAUUUUCUGAACUAUUUACACAAAAUGAUCUUGUGUAAUUUUUUAGGGGGGCCUUCUAUUGUUUAUUUUUCUGCUGAAAGUUUAAUUCAGGUCCCAGCGUCUGAAUGAGGUUUUCCUCUUGGAUUUUGCUUGUCCUUAUCUGCAUCAGUUUUUUAAUCUAAAAAAGUUCUCAGUCUGUGACGAUGCCAUGCACUACCCACCCCAUAAUGCCACCAGCAUACAUGAAGGUUGGGAGGCACUUACUCAGUAAUGGGUUAUUUAUUUUUAUGUUUUUUAUCUUUUGACAUUUCUUUGCUGUUUUUAGUGCCUUGUUUGUAUGUAAGGUGCCUGUUUUACAAUAGUUAUAUUCUAUACAUUUGUAGUGAUUAUUGUCACUCGGUUAUUUAGAAUGACCCCCCCCCCCCCCCUUUAAAAAUAUUUGAAUCUUGAAAAGCAGAUGUUCCAUGUAUCUGUUGUAUAUUUAAGGAAUAAUGCAUGAGGGUGUGUGAUAUAUGAUCAAUACGCCACUGUGCUUGUUAUAUUGGCCAAAUACCAAAAACCCUUGGUAUAGGCCAGGGUUUGCCUUAUUGCAGUUAUGAACUGGUUACAAAACCAGUUGGAGUAAUAAAAAGUUAUGUCAUGACAUAUACGUCAUAUGUUCUCAUAUACCAGUGCUAACACCCAAUCAGCAUUCAGGAUUCAAACUACCUGGUUGAUAAUGUCAGAUAUACCACAGCUUUCAGAUAAUUGGCAUCCAGGACUGCUCAGGAGAACCUGCUGUGGACUGUUGAUAUUGAUAUAUUUACAUUUAAGCAUGGGGAUCAGAAAUACAGUGUAGACAUUGGUAAUCUUGUAUGUUGAAUAUUGUAGCUGAUUUUUAAUGGAAUACCUAGCUAGGCGUACAGAAGCCCAUUAUCAGCAACCAUCAGUCCUGUGUUCAAAUGGCAUGUUGUGUUUGCUAAUCCAAGUUUAGCAUUUUAACAGGCUAAUUGAUUAUUAGCCUUUUGCAAUUUUUGGCACAGCUGGAAACUAUUUUGCUGAUUAAAGAAGCAAUAAAACUGAUUGUUGAGUAUCUGGAGCAUCAGCAAUUGUGGAAUCAAUUGCAGCCUCAAAAUGGCCAGAAACAAAGAAUUGACUUUUGAAACAUGUCAAUAUGUAAUUCAACCAUGAAUUCCAUAUUUUCCAAGAUAAUUCUUGGAGAGAAUGUAAGGUCAGCUGUCAAAAAGCACAGAUCUAACCCUAUUUAAAUGCUCUGGGGGGCCAUGCAUGCAAGAAAGAACUUAAACAAGACACAGUUGAAGCAGUGCUGUGAAAAGUGGCCAACAGUUACUCCUAC